GGUGAGCCUGGGAACCCGUUCACUACUACGCAGAUGCCUUCGGGAGCCAGAAGCGAAUGGGGAAAUGGACGUGGUGCAGAGAAGCGGCAGAGCCACCGCAGACGCUUGGCUGCGCGAACACCAGAGCCGGAGCGAGCUCUCGCUCUUGGAAGACCUUCGAAGCCUAGACCUCCCACAGACCCUGCGCUCCCCACGUAGCAGGAGCACUAGACAUCCCACAGGAGUCUGACUCCCCGAAGUGUGGACGCUUGGUGCUUUGAGAUGUUCCGCCUGACCGUAGGGGCAGGUAACUGAGACCUUUAACAUCUUCUGUUAUCUCUUUAAAAUUGUUUGCUUACUAGGAAUUCCCUAAACUGUAAAGACACCCUUAUCCCACAAUCCAUAACUUUUCUAUUUGCCGAGCAUCCUUCCACUGCUGUCCCUGAGAGCCCUUUUGCCCCACACUUGAUUCUGAGAUGAAUUCUGGUGAGGCUGGAAUGUCCUGGCACUCAGCACCCUGUACCUCAGAACUAGCAUUAGAGUCGGGGCAAUGAAGGAGGAUCUACAGACUUGUUUCGGCUGUGAUGUGUAUGGGAAUGGCCCUGCUUAUAUCAGACAUAGAUAAAUCUCUGUUAGCUUUCUUGGAUGGAUUGUUACCUAAGGGGCAACUGGGUAAGAAAUUCCUGUUAAAUACUUGUAGUUUGAGAAAUAUGUAUCAUACCUUGACAUCUUAGAUAAGCCAGGCACCAUACUUGUCAUUUCUUCAUACAGCCAUCUGUUCAAGCAACGUUGUUUCUCGUGGACUGGUUGCUCACAGACCGGGGGACAGGGAGACUCACCCUGGCCCUCACAGAGCUGCAAUUGGAGAAGGAUCACACUUCAGGGGUAGCUUGGCACAUGCGCAGUGAUACUAGUGUGAAAGUGGUGUGGACUUUCAUAGCUGAGCCAGUCCUUGAUGGAACUGGAAACAAGCUAGGAACGAUCAGAAGAUGUGUCACUGAGAAAAUGGAAUCUUCUUUGCAUCUUGGAAAUUGGGAAGGAUUUAUACUAAGCUGAGGUCUGGUCUUGCCAAGGAAAGGGGACCACUCAGAGGCUUCUGCUAAGCAUGUGUGUGGGUGUGGGAUAUGGCUUAGGUAUGUCCUACUAGGACCAUGGUUGGGAGUUAACUGGAGGCAGCUAGGAAAAGAACAACAUGUUCCAUUCAGAGGAAGUGUCCCCA
rnacentral:lncRNA from 1 species